rnacentral:rRNA from 1 species
CCUACGGGGGGCAGCAGUGAGGAAUAUUGGUCAAUGGGCGUAAGCCUGAACCAGCCAAGUCGCGUGAGGGAUGAAGGUUCUAUGGAUCGUAAACCUCUUUUAUAAGGGAAUAAAGUGCGGGACGUGUCCCGUUUUGUAUGUACCUUAUGAAUAAGGAUCGGCUAACUCCGUGCCAGCAGCCGCGGUAAUACGGAGGAUCCGAGCGUUAUCCGGAUUUAUUGGGUUUAAAGGGUGCGUAGGCGGCCUGUUAAGUCAGCGGUGAAAGUCUGGGGCUCAACCAUGGAAUUGCUGUUGAAACUGGGGGGUUGGAGUUGGGUGGGGGGAGGCGGAAUGUGUGGUGGAGGGGUGAA